UGCAGUCGAACGGUAACAGGAAGAAGCUUGCUUCUUUGCUGACGAGUGGCGGACGGGUGAGUAAUGCUUAGGGAUCUGCCCAGAGGUGGGGGACAACAGUUGGAAACGACUGCUAAUACCGCAUGAUGCCUACGGGCCAAAGGGGGCUUCGGCUCUCGCCUUUGGAGGAACCUAAGUGAGAUUAGCUAGUUGGUGAGGUAAUGGCUCACCAAGGCGACGAUCUCUAGCUGGUCUGAGAGGAUGAUCAGCCACACUGGAACUGAGACACGGUCCAGACUCCUACGGGAGGCAGCAGUGGGGAAUAUUGCACAAUGGGGGAAACCCUGAUGCAGCCAUGCCGCGUGUGUGAAGAAGGCCUUCGGGUUGUAAAGCACUUUCAGUAGCGAGGAAAAGUUAUUGGUUAAUACCCAAUAGCCUUGACGUUAACUACAGAAGAAGCACCGGCUAACUCCGUGCCAGCAGCCGCGGUAAUACGGAGGGUGCGAGCGUUAAUCGGAAUUACUGGGCGUAAAGCGCAUGCAGGCGGUCUGUUAAGCCAGAUGUGAAAGCCCGGGGCUCAACCCCGGAAUAGCAUUUGGAACUGGCAGACUAGAGUUUUGUAGAGGGGGGUAGAAUUUCAGGUGUAGCGGUGAAAUGCGUAGAGAUCUGAAGGAAUACCAGUGGCGAAGGCGGCCCCCUGGACAAAAACUGACGCUCAGAUGCGAAAGCGUGGGUAGCAAACAGGAUUAGAUACCCUGGUAGUCCACGCCGUAAACGAUGUCAACUAGUUGCUUGUAGC
rnacentral:rRNA from 1 species